rnacentral:tRNA from 1 species
GCCGGGCUGGUGGAACCAGGAAGACACGCUAUCUUGAGGGGGUAGUGGGUUUAUGCCCGUGCGGGUUCAAGUCCCGCGCCCGGCACCA